AAGAGCCGUGAUGUGAAUGAGAUGGCUGUUUGUUCUAUGCGGCUCUAGAGGAAGAGAUGGGCUCAAGGGGCCGAGAGCCAGAAUUCGGUUUUAAUCAAGGAGGUACUAUUGAACAAAUAGAACUUCGGGGCAGUGUGAUGUAUGCCUGCGGAAGGCACGUCUCUAUCACUGGACUAAAUGUCCUGUGUCCUGGGCCAGUGAACUCAGCAACUUUGUCCUGCGAAUCUGGAACCCAAAGCCUUGCUUCUGUCCCCACCAGAAAGAGGACAGAGCCCCGAGUGCCGAGCACUGAGGAUCCCACCUCUCCGCUGUUUUUCUCUACAGCCUGCUCAGGCCUUCAGUGAGCAGCACCUGCCACCCAACACGAAUGAAACACCAGAACUGCAUUUUCUUAGCAACUGAAGCCUCACCCCUGCCACCGUGGAAGAGGGACCCUGUAAAACUCCCUCUUCUUUGAAGAAACACAACUGAGACCAAGUGAGAAGUAGCUACAGUUUAAUACAAACCUGCACCA